rnacentral:rRNA from 1 species
AUUGAACGCUGGCGGCAUGCCUUACACAUGCAAGUCGAACGGCAGCACGGGUGCUUGCACCUGGUGGCGAGUGGCGAACGGGUGAGUAAUACAUCGGAACGUACCUUAUCGUGGGGGAUAACGCAGCGAAAGCUGUGCUAAUACCGCAUACGCCCUGAGGGGGAAAGCGGGGGAUCGCAAGACCUCGCGCGAUUAGAGCGGCCGAUGCCUGAUUAGCUAGUUGGUGGGGUAAAAGCCCACCAAGGCGACGAUCAGUAGCUGGUCUGAGAGGACGAUCAGCCGCGCUGGGACUGAGACACGGCCCAGACUCCUACGGGAGGCAGCAGUGGGGAAUUUUGGACAAUGGGGGCAACCCUGAUCCAGCAAUGCCGCGUGAGUGAAGAAGGCCUUCGGGUUGUAAAGCUCUUUUGUCAGAGAAGAAACACCGGCUCUAACACAGUCCGGGAAUGACGGUACCUGAAGAAUAAGCACCGGCUAACUACGUGCCAGCCGCCGCAGUAA